UACGUAGGGGGCUAGCGUUGUCCGGAAUCAUUGGGCGUAAAGAGCGUGUAGGCGGCCCGGUAAGUCCGCUGUAAAAGUCAAAGGCUCAACCUUUGAAUGUCAGUGGAUACUGCCGGGCUAGAGUCCGGAAGAGGCGAGUGGAAUUCCUGGUGUAGCGGUGAAAUGCGCAGAUAUCAGGAGGAACACCAAUGGCGAAGGCGGGUCUCUGGGCCGAUACUGACGCUGAGGAGCGAAAGCGUGGGAGGCGAA
rnacentral:rRNA from 1 species